rnacentral:rRNA from 1 species
UGGGGAAUUUUGGACAAUGGGCGCAAGCCUGAUCCAGCAAUGCCGCGUGCAGGAUGAAGGCCUUCGGGUUGUAAACGGCUUUUAUUCGGGAAGAAGAGCAUGGAUGCGUCUGUGUGUGACGGUACCGAAUGAAUAAGCACCGGCUAACUACGUGCCAGCAGCCGCGGUAAUACGUAGGGUGCAAGCGUUAAUCGGAAUUACUGGGCGUAAAGCGUGCGCAGGCGGUUUUGUAAGUCUGAUGUGAAAUCCCCGGGCUCAACCUGGGAAUUGCAUUGGAGACUGCAAGGCUAGAAUCUGGCAGAGGGGGGUAGAAUUCCACGUGUAGCAGUGAAAUGCGUAGAUAUGUGGAGGAACACCGAUGGCGAAGGCAGCCCCCUGGGUCAAGAUUGACGCUCAUGCACGAAAGCGUGGGGAGCAAACA